rnacentral:misc_RNA from 1 species
UAGAGUUAUUAAAAACUCCCAACCCUUUGUAAAAAUACCACGCGUUGCUUCGGCAGGUCGCAUCGACCCGGUGUUCACCCUCUCUUGUAGGAGGAGACUUACCCGGUAGGUGUGGGUAACCCUGCCGGCAGCUCACAAAACUCUUGUUUAAUAAGGAAUUCUGAAUAUAUAACUAAAUAAGUUA